AUAUGGCCCUUCUGCUCUGUGUGGUUUUCCUCUCCAAAUGCACAACCCUGUUCUGAUCAUGAGAAAAACAGCAGACAGAUCCUGAUUGAGGGACAUUCUAUAAAUACAUGACGAAUGCUUCUCAAAACUGUCAGGGUGAUCAAAACAGGGAAAGUCUGCAAAACCAUCCCAGCCCAGAGGAGACCAAGGACACGUGAGGAUUCAAUGUAACGUGGUGUCCUGGGUGGGAUCCUGGAACAGCAAGAGGACAUUAGCAACAACUGAGGAAAUCCUGAUAAAGCAUGGACUGUAUAUAGUUCAUAAGAGCGCGUGAGUGUUGGUUGGUUACCUGUGGCCAGUCCCCAUGGUAGGUGUUCAUAAUCGGAGAAGGGGACGUGAAUCUGUACAACAUUCUGAACCAUACUCAGAGCCUCCGAGUUACAAGUCUCUUAAAAUUCAAAGGUUGUUAAGAAGAUUUUCGAGGGUGGCCAUGAGACAACUUAUUUUCACUAAGGAACACAUUAAAAACCUCACCCAGACAUUACCUGCGACCCUCAACUGUUUCAGAAAAGGAAGGAUGUUCACUACAGUGGGAAGGCCUCUUGUCUCCAAAGAAAGAAUGAGAGUGGACAGGGAGUGAGCCCAGGUUAGCAAAGAAUUGAGACUCCUCAUUUUUCUCAUCUUGCCAAGGACCCUUGAGAAGUUGAGGGCUGUCAUCCGCCCUGGAGCACGAGGGCAGAGUGAGAGAUGGUUAAUAAUGACCAUGACGGAGAACAGCAGCCACCCAACAAAAGCAGGGGGCCGUACGAUCUGUCUGCAAGGCAAGUGCUCAGGCUGACACAUAGGAAGCUCUCAAUCAACAGGAGUUAACAAGAAAACAUGCCAAGUGGCAAAACAGGACUGUCCAUCACCAGAUGAAUGGAUAAAUACAGUGUGGCCCAUCCA